rnacentral:lncRNA from 1 species
UUCUUAACCAAUUAAAUUAUUCAGGAAGUCAAAACAUGCAAAUGUGAAACACAAGAAUAAUACUAAUCCCAUAUGGCCUCAAACCUUUGAGUAUAAAUAAAACACUUUUUAUUUGUCACCAUAUCGAUUACUCAUUAUUUGUUGUUUCGGUUAAUCAACUUCUUACUUGAAUUAUUACACUUGUCCCAUGCUCCUAGCAUGCACACAAUGUUUACCUAUGGUUCUUACUUUGUGAAAUAGAUCACAUUGGACACAUUUCCAAUCAUUCUCAUUUCAGAACUCCAAAUCCAUUUUUCAUAAGUUUAAGAAUGUCAAAUUCUUGCCACCUAUAGAAUAUGUUAGAUUCUAACAUUUUAUGCAAUGAUCCUUUCGUAAUGUCACUACACCAAAGUCACAAAGACUAUUGCCAAUGAUAUUACAAAGUUUUCUAUCAGAUAUUGUUGCAAGAAAUUCCUUAGAUAUGAUGUUUCUCACUCAAAGUACAUUCCUUUGAACAUCCUUUUGCAUAAAAGUUUCUAAUCUAGUCAUAGAUUUUCAAUAUUCAAUUCCCAAUAUGGAUACAUUUCCAUAUUUUCUAUAUGACAACUUAUUCUUAAUAGAAUCUUAUCUAUUCCUAAUAAUGCCGAUAUGGUCCAUCCAAUAUGAAAACAUUUCCAUAUCUCCCAAUACUAUACUUCCAACUACUCACAAGCAACCAAUCCUCGUCGAACUUAGAUUGUCCUUUGAUAGUUGUUUAAUUAUCUUAGUCAAACUGAUUGUAGUCCCUUUUCCAUCUAAAUGCGCUAGACAUUUGGAAAAUUUUUAGAAUGGUCAAACAUUAAAGCAUUUGCAAUCGAUCCUAUACCCAAAGCGUAUGGGACACGACGCAUAAUGUUUUAUUUGCUAUGUUCUCAAAAUUCGAAUUGUGAAGAGGAAUGCCGUAAUCAUAAUCGAAAUUUUAAGAACACACUAUGUACCUUUGACUAAAUUUAUUAACAUUUCUCAACCUAAUCCUUUAGAUUUGAAAUGAAGCAUAAUAUUCUCUCCCUUAAUUAUAGCAAAACAACUUUACAACCCUUACUACUUUGCAAGGUAUAACUCUUGUUUUCUAUAAUUAAUAUUGCCAACUUGCAAUACGUGCCUUAAUAAUCAUACAAUCAUAACAUUUAUGCUCCCACUAUCAUGAUGAUUAUUAUAAAACAUAACACUUAUGCUCCCACUAGCUUCGACAUGUAUUCAUAAACAUCUUAACUUUCAGAAAAACAAUACUUAUUGAAUUUCUUAAGUUCAUGUUUCUAAUACUUAGUGCUUUGAUAAUCUUUUAUCAAGGCUUCUUGAAAUUAUACACCUUUGCCUUCGAUAGUUCAUAUGUGUGUCUAAACAAUUAAGACUAAUUGCCAAACCUCACAAUUCAAAUUAUGGAAAGGGAUACCGUAACCACGAUUGAAUUCGAGAAUGCAAUUUUACUAUCUUCUUAAAAUCAUUCUUAGUGAAAGAAUUUCCUCACAAUCAUUUUCAUGAAGAAGGAAAUCUUAUGACACUUAGAAUUAAACGGUGUAUGUGUUCCUAUCCAUGUGAAUUUGUUAAAACCAAGGUUUACGAUAAAUUCAAACUCAUAUGGACCGAACUUUCUUAAUCUUGAUUUCUUGCCUUAUGGUAGCACAGCUGCCCACCAUGUCUUCCAAGUAGUUAAGCAGCUCACCCUUUCCUAUCAAUGUACCUUUCAUUGAUUAAGGUGCUUUGCCUUUUAUGCAUUCAAAAAGAGAACUCAUAGAACUAUCAUGCAUAAUUAACUCGAUUGGAUUGGCAUAGAACCAAAAAAAUGUCAUCACGAUAGGUUGUAAACCUCAAAUCGUGUGCUAGUGAUGAUCAAUAAGGUUUAUUUGAUUUGUUCUUGAAACCUUUCAAGACUAUUAAGACUCCCACUGACUCCAUGACAUAUAAGAUUCUCUUGUCAAUAACCAUUUCUUGACAAACAAAUAUUCAAGAGUUAGUGUAGCUUUUAUCAAAACACUUCAUAAAUUGGUCCUAGUUGGUCUUUGUCUUAUCCAAGACAUCACAACUUUCCACAUUUGAUGAANNNNNNNNNNNNNNNNNNNNNNNNNNNNNNNNNNNNNNNNNNNNNNNNNNNNNNNNNNNNNNNNNNNNNNNNNNNNNNNNNNNNNNNNNNNNNNNNNNNNNNNNNNNNNNNNNNNNNNNNNNNNNNNNNNNNNNNNNNNNNNNNNNNNNNNNNNNNNNNNNNNNNNNNNNNNNNNNNNNNNNNNNNNNNNNNNNNNNNNNNNNNNNNNNNNNNNNNNNNNNNNNNNNNNNNNNNNNNNNNNNNNNNNNNNNNNNNNNNNNNNNNNNNUUUCUAACAACUCUAUCAUAACUAUCUAAGCUCAAAAUCUAAUCUUCAAGUCCAUGCGAUCAAGAUCCAUUCCUUGUGAUUAGAUUCAUCUUGCUCUUUCACCAAGCUUCCUUUCUUUUCACCGAUCCUGUAAAACAUUCAAAUGCAAUCUUAUUACAUUAUGUAUUAAGAAUUAAUGAAUAGGAACUUAAUGGAGUUAGAUAGUGGAUUUUACCUGAAGCGCAGCCAUACUCUUUGACUCUCCCAUCUUCUGGACUCUUCAGGCUCUUUGGGCAGACUUGUAUCCAACGCCCUUUCUUUUGGCAGCAAACGCAGGUCGGUUCUCCUAGAACGUCCUCGGAAGCAUGGUCGGUUGACUUUCCCAACAAAUACGCUCCAUUGCUUCGCCAAAUCAUUUCUGAUUCAGCAGCAAUGAGCAUGUAAGUUAGGUCAAUGAGGUUGUCGUCAUGAUCCAUCAUAUAAUACUUUGUUUUGAACUCAUUAUAUGAUUCAGGAAGUGACUGCAAAAGCCAAUUUACAUCCAACUCAUCUAGGAAUGACACACCCAACAUUAUCAACCUAUCAAUGUGUGAUUUCAUUCCUAGAACGUGGGCACACACAGGUUUACCAUCUUCAUGUUUCAUUUCCAAUAGGGCUUUAGUGAUAUUGAACCUUUCAAUUCUUCGAUCUUGUGGGUUGGGGAGAACAAUAGGAGGAGGAGGAGGAAGUGAAGCAUGAUUUCUUGUUCCUCGAUUGAAUCGUGGAAUACCAUCUUCAUGUGGAAUGCUUGUUCCACGGGAUUUGGGAAGACCAUAGUUGUCGAACUUUGACAUCUACAAAACGGGAGAAAAACAAAUUCAAGUUAGUUGAUUGAUUGAGUCCUUAGUAAAUCACCCAAAUGAGAUACUAAGGCUAGGACCCAACACAAUAUUCUACAACUCGGGAGAGGGAUGCCGUAACCCUAAUUGCAGAAUAUUUGAAGGUAAGUGAAUGACGAUUCACUAAUUUCCACCAUGAAAAACGAAAAAGAAAUUUAAGUUUUAAAUCUAUGAAAACUCCUAGAUCCUUUGAGAUACAUUGAACUUUCAAUGGCAUGUUUAUAUCUCGAUAUGCCCCUCUUGUUUGUGACUGGGAUGUCGAGGAUCACAAAGCGGGUGUGAAUAACCAUGCAAACUACAUGGUGCCCUCAGAUGUUAUAGUCACCUAUUUGAUGUGCCGGUAAACCAUACACGCUCCACCGAAGUAUGACAAACAUUGAGUCACCCUUUGCUACCUUUGCUUAGAACCAUUUAGUGUGCCGGUAAACCACACACGCUGCACUAACGUCUUCGCAAGGGCACAAAGUGUAAUUUCAUGGAAUUGCAUCAAUUCACUUUUGCCUAAGUAACUAAGAUUGGGAAUUUUAUGAAAACAUUUAGUUACUUUUAUAUUUCAUUAUACUUAUAAUGGAAGGUUUCGUCCUAUCCUACCCGUUCGGCUAACGACCCUCCACUAGUCAAGAGUGCGGUGGGUAAGAGUGGAUACCCAUUCAAUCGCCAUUUUAUAGGCAAUUUCCUUAAACACCCCUUAUAGACCAGCUUCGUGAAUGAGGCCUACUAACGGUAAGACUGACUUUUACUCAUACAUAUAUAUAAUGUUAGACUUUUAAUGUUAUAUAUAGUAUAGGGUGUAUUUUAUACUUUCAAAAUACUAGGUGGUCUAAUUUAACAAUUAUACUUUUAAUUCACUUAAAUUGUAAACCUAAACUUUUAUGGAUUUAUUAAACCUCUUUUAAUUAUACACCUUAAUUAAUUAAUAAAACCAUAAGGGUGUGAUUUGAACUUUUUCAAAACUAUACUAGAGUUUUAGAAUUUAACAUUCCUAAUUAAACUUUUAAUCAACUUUUAAAUUCCAAAACUUGAGGGCAAGUUUUGAAACAUUUCAACACAUUAGGGUUUAGAAUUUAAAUAUACAUCAAAAUUAAACCAUUUAAUCAAAAUUUAAAUUCCAAAACUUGAGGGCAAGUUUUGAAACCUUUUUCAAAACAUUAGGGUUUUAACUAUUUAAAUUUCAAAACAACAAAACUUUUGGGUUCAAAUUUAAACUAUAAAACCUAAAGGGGAAAAUAUGAAACUUUUCAUAACAACAAGGAUCAAAUAACAAAUAAUCUAAAUUAACAUUUAAUUACAUAAUUAUCCAUAUUUGAUUUAUUUAAUGAUUUCUUGCAAAACAAUUUAUCAAUUUACUCAAAAUAAUUAAUCAAUUAUCUUAUAAGGAAACAAUUAUCUUAUUAAUUGAUAAAUAUCUUCAAUUAGAUCAAAAAUAUAGUCAAAUAUAUCAUAUAAUCGGAUUUAUAUUGAUCUAACAUGAUAAGGUAACUAUCCAUAAGCAAAAACAGCAAGAAAUCCCGAAGUACCCUCCAUCUGACGAGCCGACUCGUCGAGUCAGGCAUGGACUCGUCGAGUCACCUUGGACUCGGCGAGUUCAUCUAUGGACUCGGCGAGUCCAGCCUCCAGAAACACAAAAUUCGAAAUUUUCAAACAUAUCAAGCAUCAAUACAAUAGAAACCAAUCUAGGCUCUGAUACCACUGAUGGGUUUUGGUCAUAAGACAUCCUAUGUGCUCAUACAAACCCUAAUGCUUGGAUCUAGGUUUCUCUAUUGUACAUGCUUUGAAUCCAAGACUAUAAACCCUAAUUCUAGCAUAUGGAAAUCAAUAUUAACAUAUAAUUAGGUUUAUGAUAUUACCUUGAUUGUUAUGUAGCAAUAACAAUCCCAAUUCCUCCUUGAAUUGACUUUGGAAGGCUUAGAGUCACAAGUGUCACUCCUCUAAUGGCUUACAAACACCAAGAGCAAAUGGAGAAGGUAUAAAGAGAGAGGAGAGGUAUAAUAAUACGUCUCUAGGACCUCUUGGGAAGGCAUGGACGAAUUCAUGAGCCUUAGGGGUCUUUAUAUAGGUGUAGAGAUUAGGGUUUUAGUCCUUAUCCUUAUCUAGUUGUUUGCCCACCAAGUAACCAUAAGAUAAGCCUUGAAAACCCUUAUCCUUUAUCCUUUGGACGAUUUCAAGGAUGCUUAUCUCCUUGAAUUCGUUCAACCUAUAUUUAGGACAACCAUUACCAUAUUUUUUAACUAUCACAUAAUUACAAUUCAGCCCCUUUAGUUUAAUUAAUUACACUUGAUCAUAAAAUUAAUUCUUAAUUAAUUAUUGACCAAUAUUAAUUAAACAAAUAUGAUUUCUCCUUUAAUAUAUUACUCUUAUAACAUAUUAAUAAAUCAUAAUAACCUCUCUCUCUAUUUAUUUCUCCAAUCAAGUUGCUUUGGUGAAGGCAACCCAAAAGGACCAUGCACCAUCGGGUCAAGUACAUACCAAAAUAGUUAUGGACUUAGACACUAAUCCAACAGUCUCCCACUUGGAUAAGUCUAAUAACUAUUAUGCGUAUGACUUCAGAUCCUGAUCUGCAAUCGUAGCUUUCCAAAGCCGCUGUCAACUCUGAUCCUAUCAGAUACGCGUGUCCUUAGAUAAGGGAUCAUAUAUUCCUCCAUUCUAGAUAUCAUAUGAGAUAUGAUUUCAAAUCAUUCUCUUUGUACUAUAUCUCGAUUUCCGAUUUAUGACGACUGACUAAUUGAACAAAUCAAAUUAGCCCUAGCCCGGCCGAGCAUUUACGUUUGUCAUCACUAAAUCAUCGAGGGGCCCAAAGAUAUCGCUUUUAUCCUACUUUGGAUAAAAGGAACGGAUAAACUUUGAUACAAUGCUUGCUUGCACUCACUCACCGAAUCACACACAACAAUAUGUUUUAUAACACCAAGUUACUAGUGCGUUUACAUAUUAUCAAUGUGCAACCGAUUUGCAAGAUACAACUCACACAUCUCGGUUUCAAGAAUAUAAGAUGUUAUCGUCUCACCAAUCACUCGUGAUACAAUUCAUGGAGUGAUCCAAGUGAGCGUGGGUUUAAUCCAAUGCUCAAAUUCAUAUUCAUAAGCACUCAUGAACGUUGCAGCAAACAUUUGCUUAUGUCUAAUGCUCUUUAGACAAUCCACACACCAAUUCACGACAGUCUUCAUUCAUAUCUACUUCCAACAUAUGAACGACUGUGGCCCGUUCGAAUAAUUCGAUUAUUCUUAAUAAACUCAAUUAUUCUGGAAGUCAAAACAUGCAAAUGUGAAACACAAGAAUAAUACUAAUCCCAUAUGGCCUCAAACCUUUGAGUAUAAAUAAAACACCUUUUAUUUAUCACCAUAUCGAUUACUCAUUAUUUGUCGUUUCGGGUAAUCAACUUCUUACUUGAAUUAUUACACUUGUCCCAUGCUCCUAGCAUGCACACAAUGUUUACCUAUGGUUCUUACUUUGUGAAAUAGAUCACAUUGGACACAUUUCCAAUCAUUCUCAUUUCACAACUUCAAAUCCAUUUUUCAUAAGUUUAAGAAUGUCAAAUUCUUGCCACUUAUAG